UACGGGGGGAGCAAGCGUUGUUCGGAUUUACUGGGCGUAAAGGGCGCGUAGGCGGCGCAACAAGUCACUUGUGAAAUCUCCGGGCUUAACCCGGAGCGGCCAAGUGAUACUGUCGUGCUAGAGUGCGGAAGGGGCUACUGGAAUUCUCGGUGUAGCGGUGAAAUGCGUAGAUAUCGAGAGGAACACCUGCGGCGAAGGCGGGUAGCUGGGCCGACACUGACGCUGAGGCGCGAAAGCGUGGGGAGCAGACAGG
rnacentral:rRNA from 1 species